CUCUCUGCUCUGAGUCACCAGGGCUGACUUCCCUGGCUCCAAGAUGCUGUGGUGGUGCCUGAUGAGAGCCUUGGCUGGGAUCCUCCCAACACGGCAUUGCUCUGGCACCUGGCACUGGCUGCUCCUGUCCCCAUAUCUGGGCAGGGCUGGGCACUGAGUGUGUCCCUGCUCCCAGGCUUGUCCCCCAGGAAUGGCACAGCCUUGUGGUCUCCACCCUGGUUCUGCAGCCUCUGUCAGCACAGCCACGACAUACAGCUGUUCUGGGAAGGGCUGGGAGCAAAGUGCAAUGGGUCCUUCCAUGUAAGGCUUCAUAACAGCUUCAAGGGACAGUGGGACUGCUGCAGGGCCUGGAUGGAGAGAACUCCCCUCUGCCCUGGAAAAGUGGCACUGGCUGCAAGCAUGAAAUGAGAGGGACACGGGGAGUGACAGCUCUGAGUGACAGCCACCACCAAGCACAGCAGUGUGGCCGGCCCAGCAGCAUGUCUCCUUCCUGCAGACCAAGCCACAGGGAGGCCUGACGGGGAGCAGCGCUGGUUUCAUCAGCGGGAAAUGAGGGUGAGGACUGAGCUUGAGCACUGCCAUGUGCCCCAGCAGGGACAUCCCUGCCCCAGCACAGCAGCCCUUACCUGUUCCAUGCAAGCUCCCCCAGACCCACACACAGUCUGUGUGUACUGCUCACAUGCAGCCAGACACACACACACAGCUGGACACACUGACACCCACCAGGCUUCUUCACCUGGGGCCUGCCCCUCCCACAUGCACCCCACAGCCCUGGUCCUUCAUCCCCACGCCAUUUUUGGGUAAUAAAAGUACUAUUUGAGGGUGUUUACAACUUUUAUUUAAAAAUCCCUGUCCCAGAUAAUUUUCAGGGCU